CUUUCAUUAUCUCUCACAAAAUGGGCCACCAUUUCUUUUUGUGUGUCUGGAAUUAAGGGAAUUCAUCAUAGAAGCUUGUUUAGGAGGAGAGUGGCAGCAAUACAUGAAAAGGUUUGUAUGAACCCCAAUUAAGCAUAUGUAUGGUUUUAGUGGGGUUUUACAAACACCACUGCAGUACUCUGAUUCUCUGAAGUUGCAGUAGCAUUCACAUGUGGGCAGGGACAGUGAGCACUUGAUGGCAUGGAUCCAAUUAAGGACUAGGGAGAUUGCAUUUCUGUGUGCAUUUUUGUUUUGUUAUCUUAUAAAUUAGAGAUAUUGUUGAACCUUUAUUUUUUUUUAGUACGCAAUUUAAAAGCAAAUAUUUUUCCUUUUUA